rnacentral:lncRNA from 1 species
UUUGUCUUCUUUCUCAUCAUAUACUGUUUAUGUUUUCUGAAAUAAUAAAUGUCUUUUAGCUGAAUUGUUGUAGUCCUCAGUUUGGCACCCUGAACCUGUAAUACUUCAGUUGGCGAUCUGAUUGUCCUGUAUUUACAGUAAUAAUGGUGACAAAAAGUGAUAACACGUUCUUUAGAUAUAUAGCACGAGUGGAAGAAUAAUUUACUUUAAGUGGCUUGCCACUAGACUCCUUGACCACCAACUUCUUUGUUGCAGUUAUAGAAAGGUUUGAAGAGCUUGAGGGACGAAAUCCUGGAGAAACUUCUGUUGAUGACCUUCCAAAUGUUCAGAAGUUGAGGAAGGAACUCUGCGAGGCAUAUGUAUUUCGCUAUGCAAUAUGCUCCUGUUAUAUAAGUUUCAUUCUUUUCCUCUAGGUUAUUAACAUAUUUGCCUCUUAAUUGUAGUGCUUAAAUGAAUCUCAUAUCCCAGAUUCUCUUCUGAGAAGAUUGAUGGCAAGUACAAGCGAAUUUCCUCCUGUCUGUGCUAUCGUAGGAGGAAUUCUUGGACAGGUAAUUAUGCGACUGUAACGUUGAACAAUGCUUUCUGACUUCUUUCUCAUUUGUUGAAAUUCUCUUCCUUUGUAGGAGGUAAUAAAAGCAAUAUCUGGCAAAGGCGAUCCCCUUAAGAACUUUUUCUUCUUUGACGCCAUGGAUGGUAAAGGGAUAAUAGAGGACAUAUCUAAUGUCAACAGCUGAGGAUUGACCUGUGUGGUAAAAACUGUCUUAAGAAAUGCUGACCUUGUUGGGUAUCUUUUUUUUGGUAGAUUUAGGACUAAUCACAACCUAAAUUAUCUGACAUUCCUUCAAUUUGUGUUCUGACCAGCAAAAUUAUGAUGUUUUUUUUUUUUGACAUUUGGGACCAUCAGUAAAGUGCUCAUGUUGGGCAUAUAUCUUGAAACAUUCUAGAUAAUGUCUCAUUUUCAGUUGUCCCUGUUCUCUCCAGAUCUCUAGUCAUGCUAAAUUACUCUUCCCAUGCUUUCCUUCCAUGGCUAGUAAUCAAAAGAACAGAUAAAUAACUAAGUUUCUGCUUCGUGUCCCCAUACAAGAGUGCGUUGUUCUGAAAUGCAUGUUUUGUAAAGGAGAUGGAUCUAUAUGAGUUCACAUGAUUCUAUUAGCGUUUGCAUAGACCAUGUAUAACAUUAAGAAACGAAUUCACUACUUGUCGGUUCCUGAUGGUAUAAAUCCAGAAUUUGUGAAAAAAUCAUAAAAAAAUUAUCCUCUUUGUAUAGAUUGACAAGCGAAAUAUACAAACGGAGUUUUCUGAAAAAUUCUUAAAUGUAUAAAUAUAUAAUUUGUAUAUACUUGACAUGUUUGUAUAUUUGUAAGCGAAACAUACAAACGGGCAAGUGAAAUAUACAAAUCGCAAUCUACAUAGCAAAUAAAACUAUAGCUAUGAAACGCAAUUACCGAAACUAUAGCUAUAGAGCUUUAUUAUGUUUAUUAUCUUUGUUAUUUCUGAAGUUUUCUCUAAUUUAAAAUGAUGUGAAAUAUAAAAUAAAAAUAAAGAGUUUUAAAAUUUAUAAUUUUAUAUGUAUUAAGCUAUAAAACUUUUGAAAUUCAUGAUUUUAAAUUUGUCAUGUCAUUUGUGUUAUAAAAACUUUUCAUAAAGAGAAAUGGAAAAUGUAACGUCAGUUAUUUUGAAACUUAAAAGUAUGUUAGAGCCGAUUAAAAAAAAGAAGAUAUUUAUAUAGUCGGUUUAGUUAAGCUAUUUCAGUUUUUUUUUUUUUAAUUAUUAAAAUGAAAAUCAAAUCAAACUCAAAAAGUGUCGUUUAUUUCUUUGAUUUGGUUCGAUUUUUCAUCAACAUUAGGGGUGUGCACUAUUUGGAUUAAACCGAAAAAUCAAACCAAAUCAAAUCGAAUUCUACUUUGGAUUGGUUUUUUGGAUUUUUGGUUUGGUUUUGGAUUCAUAAUUUACUUUGUUUGGUUUUUUGGUUUGGUUUUGGAUUUAUAAUUUACUUUGUUUGGUUUUUUGGUUUGGUUUCGGAUUUUGAAAAAUGAAAACCGAAAAAAUGAUUUAUAUUAAAAAGUAUAUUUAAGAAAUUCAAUAUUAUAUAUAUAUAUAUAUAGUUUUUUAAAAAUUGCAAAUAUAACUUUGUUAUGUUUCUAAUUAUUGACAUAACCGAUUAACCAAACCGAAAAAACCCAAACCAAAAAGAAAAAACCAAACCAAACCAAAUUUAUUUUGGUUCGGAUUAGAUUACACUUCUUCAAAACCAAAAACCAAAAAAUUCAAACCAAAUAGUAUAAAACCAAACCGAAUGCACACCCCUAAUCAACACCCCUUUUAAAAAAAAAGAGUUGCAGUGUCUCGAAGCGUUUUCGUUGCUGGGAAGGACCUCAAAGGUGUUGGAGCAUAGCUUAAAAUGUAUUAUCAGAUUAUUUCAAGUAGAUAUUAUUAUAUCCUAAAAAACAUUAUUUUCAACGAAAUAGGUAAAUGAGACAAUAAUAAGAGGUAUAUGAAAUUUUUAAUUUUAAUUUUAGAAAGCAAAAAAAAGAAAAAAAUUAUAUUCAUACAAAAGAAAAUUCUCAUCGAAAAUAUACUGCAAGGGGUUUAUCAUUCCCAUUUAUUCAGCAUGUGAAGGGGAUAACCUUUCUCAACAAAGGGAUAAAGUGACGAGUCCUCCUGGAUAUAGAGUAGCCUUUGUUAACCUCAAUAUGGGAUUUUUCGGCGAAAAUUCAAUUUAGUCAGACUUCAAUAUGGAUAUCGAACACCGGAUGAGAAAAAAAGAGAUAAAGUGGGAUUUACUCAAAUAAUUACUAUAAUGUAAUUCUAAUUCUUUACACGAUGGAUCGUGUUAUUGUGGAGCACUAAAUCGAAAAGCCAUAUUUGAUGUAAACCUCAUUGACAAAUUAAAGUUAUCUCUAAUUAUGUUAGGGAUAAGGCACAAUUACCCCCUAGACUAUGAUCGAAUUUUUAUAGACACAUCUUAACUAAACUAAGGUUCUAUUACCCCUGAACUCAUUUUUUUGUAAUUUUGUACACCUUCUGGCUUACGUGGUACAAUAUGUGACUCCACGCAGUUGAGGCGUGAGAGAUAUUUGGAUGCCAUGAAAGCCAAAAAGGUGUACAAAAUUAUAAAAAAAAAUGGGUUCAGGAAUAAUAAGACUAGUUUAGUUAAGGUGUGUCUCUGAAAUUUUGGUCAUAGUCUAGGGAUACUUAUACCUUAUCCCUUUAUGUUAUACAAAACUUAUAAUCGAUAUAGUGUAGUAUAUAUGUCAUUAACAAUAAUGCCAAAUGGUGUAAUUUUACUUUUAAGAGUGCCUUAAUUAAAAAUUCAACAUGACCACUAUGUUUGUAACAACACAGUAACGGUUAGUUUGUGCUCAUAAUACAAAUAUUUCUACACAAGAUGUACAAUAGUUUUAUGAAGAAACAGUUUUAAACAACCAAACACCAAACAAAUUUGAUUUAAAAAAAAAGCUAACAAGUAUAACUCCAUCGGGUUAGAGUUUCAUUCGGUUAUCAUAAACAAUUUGUGUGCCCCAACAUAGAAAGGUUCCGAAUAUUAUAAUGAUAGUAACGGAGUCAGAAAUUUUAACAUCGAGAGAUUUUUUUUUUUGUAUAAUACAGAUUUAACAAUAUACAUAAAAAAUAAAAAUAAAACACAAUACAAAUUUAACUUCACUAGCUAGACUCUAAACAUAAAAAGGUUGUCCAAUUACAAAUACUGUUCCAUCAUAUGUAGUUUCUUAAAAAGGAAAAAUAAAACUAUGGUACAAGAAAAUUCUAUCAUUUUCAUGUUACUUUUUAUCUACAAAGUUCAUAUCGCAAUGCUUACUAUUAUAAUAAUCAAUAAAAUUUCAAUAAUUGUGUCAAUGCAAAUGAUGAUGACGUGUUCUAUAUUGGGAAGUUUCAUCAAUAGAUGAAUAUCAAACUAGUGAAAACUCAUUGAUACCUUUCAAAUCUUUAUAUAUAAACAAAAUAUAUCAUAUACUAGUUUCACAACUUUUGUCCAUAGAAAUGAAAAAAAAAAUAUUAAAAAAAUAAAGAUAUAACAAGGAGGGGUUGUUUACUCAAACUAAUAACUAUGAUCUCAGAAAUUCAGUUUUCUUUCUUAAUCUCAAUUUCAUACGACACUUUUUAAUAACUAUUAGUUAAGCUAUCAUCUGAGAAAUCAACGCUAAAAAAAGAAGAUGGACGAGCAUAAGUAAGAUGAUAUUGGCACGGCUCAAUCAAAUGAAAUGACCCAAUACUUUGAGGAAUUUGAUUUGAUUGAGCCAUUCCAACAUCAUUCUACUAUACUAUUAUACUACAAAGUGAAAAAGGGAAAAAAGACUUUUAAUUUACCUUUCCAACUUCAAAAUUUGUAGAUCAUCAAAUAACUAAGAACUAAUUGCUUUUGCAAUAUUCCUAAUUAUAAUUGCCGGCAUGAUAAUGAUGGAACCCUAACCCUAAUUUAGAGAGGAGAAAAAGGAAGAACAAACUAUAAAUAAGAUAAGAAAAGAAAAUUAGUAGUAUUGGAGUUUAUAUAGAUAGAAAAAUAUAUAUGAAGUCAAAUGGGCAUUUUCAAAAUAUACGUAGUGGUGGUUGAUGAAAAACACCUAAUAUGUCACAAAACCAGGUCCCUUCAAUUAUACUUUUCUUUGUAUUUACAAAGUUUGCUUUUUAAUCAUUUGUCAACUUAUUGUUAACCUAAUCUAAUUACUCAUUUUAAAAAUAUUAAUGUACUUUUUCCUAGUUGUCAAUACCCCGUCAUCAAUUUGUCAUUACAAUUGAUCGUAUAGUUUGCUUAAUUGCUUCCUCCGUUUUAUUUUACUUGACUUAUUCUGACUUGAUACAAUCCUUAAAAUAAUUUUUAUUUAGUAAAAUACUCAUCUAAUAAAAAAAUUCUUAAGAGUAGUGAAAAAAAGGGUCAUAAUAAAUUAAGAUCACAAAAUUUUUUUAGUUAAUAUUUUCUUAAGGGGUGUAAAAAAGAAAAACAUGACAAGUAAAAUGGAUCAGAUGGAGUAUUGUCACACUCCUAAAUAUCAUUAAGAAAAAUGUAUACCCAAAUAAGCUUUGUGGAACCAUCCAUGUAGAAGAAUAAAUGAAUAAUUAGCUUACAAAUCUCUUUGACAUUUUUAUUUAAACCCACACGCUGUGCUUAUUUUAUGACAUUAAUUAGAUUAUCCCAAGUAAUAAUUUUUUUAAUUUGUCAAAUAGUCUAUUGCAGAUUCUCUCUACUUUAGGCUUAUCUAUCUAAUGGACUUGUUCAAGCCUUAUUGUUGUAUAAAAUUGAACUUAAUUAUUCACCAACUUUGAAGAGUAAAAUAUUUAUCGUUUGUGGCAUGCUGUUGAAAAUGUAGACUUUAAGAAAAUCAAACAUAGAAUAUUGUAGUCUUCAUUGGUUAAAUGGUUCUACUUUUUAGAGUACUUAAUGAUUAAAAAAACACAUAAAUAAAUAUUUUUCCAGCGAGUUUCAUUUCUCAACUAUUUUAUUAGUUUAUUUACCUAUCCGAACCAUCAUCUUUUCAGAAAUUUCAUACCUUAUCACUCUCUUUAUAUUAAAACACAUCUCGACGCGGACUAUGGACUUGUUUAGGUAAGUUUGAAAAAGAAUGAAUGGAUAGUUAAGAUAUAAAACUCGUCAAAAAUAAUAAUUUAAAUAUAUUUUUGACCAUUAACUUUUGAACUAUUGAUCGUAGGAAUAUUAAAGUAUUAAUAAUUUACAUUCGACAUAAACAAAUGAAGAAGAAAUGUGGAAACAAAUUGUUGAGUUGUUUCACAAUUAUUAGUUUGUACUCCCCUGCCAGAAUAUCUAGUGGAUAGCCUGCCUGUUCUAUAUACAAUUAUUGUAAGGUUUUCUUUUUCUGAUUGGUUGAUUAUAUGGGCUAUAAAGACAUACACAAACUAAAGAUUCCCUAACCUAUUAAACAAAAAAUAGAAGGAAUAAAUAUGUUCAACCAAUUUUUUUUUGUCCCUUUCUGUGAAGCACUCACAUUAUGUGGCCCAAAGAAAUUACUUGGAAAAGAUGGUAUUUGACCCUUUUACAUUCACAAGAGUUUUUUAUGCUCUUCAUCUUGGAAAAUUAAGGAACAUUGCCUCUGACGGCUUCCAUCUGAUGGUCACUUAUUUAUUCGAGAAUUAAUGAUCAAAAAUACAUCUAAACUAUUAUUUUUUUACGAGUUUCAUAUCUCAAACACCUGCCUAUACAAUUACUCUCUUUUUAUUGAAACACAAUUCAUUGUUGAAUUGGUCUACAUGCACCUGUUGUCUUGUCGAGUGGGAACAAUAUUUGGCCAACUCAGCAUUGAAGUGUGUUUUAAUACAAAAGGAUAUCUCAAACACCUACCUAAACAAUCACUCCAUUUAUAUUGAAGCACACCGAGAACAAUAUUUGACCAACUCAACAUCAAAGUGUGUUUUAAUACAAAAUGAGUAAUAGUUUAGGUAAGUAAAGGAAACAAUAAAUAGUUGAGAUAAGAAACUUUGCGGGAAAAAAAUGAUACUGGCAGUAUUAUACUACAUUUCGAAUUCCCGUCCAAAUUUUGGAGAACAAUCAAUGGAUUGAACUUAUUAUGUCUUCAAGCAAAACCACAAAUGCUUACGAUUAGCUCAUGCGGCCAUUCAAGUUCCUGUGCAUUAACCAGAGAGGUUUACACAAUGAUCCAGUUACCUACAUCUCUUCAUCUAAUUUAAUACAAGAAAUCUCGAAACAUAUUCGAGAUGUAUUGAUGUCCAAAUUGAUGACCGAAAACACAACGGAGUGUUAGAAGAAAAUCCUUGAACAGAGAACAAACAUUUGCUCCGCCGGAUCAACAGACCCUAAGUUUCACUUACGAGUCUUAUAAUUUUCUUAUUUCCUCCCAACAAGUACAAUCGAAAAAACAAAAAUUCUAAAUCGAAAUACCAAAUGACUUCUUAAGCUUCUCAACUUCCAAAUAUACGGUGGAGUAAGGCAGAAAUUCUGAGUGGUGAGCAUUGGCCAAAUCAUUUAUUGCAGUAGAAAGCUUAGGUAUCUCUUUUAUCUCUUCAUGGGUCAAGGUCCUGACAAAUCUUGCGGGAUUCCCAGCCCAGAGUUCACCAGUUGGAAUCCUCCUCCCAGGUGGGAGCACCGACCCAGCCUCAAGGAUAGAGUUAGUCUCCACCAAUGAACCUUCCAUAAGGAUAGAGUGCUGGCCAAUAAUGCAUUCUGGCUCAAUUGUGCAGGAUCGCAACAGACAGUAUGCACCAACUGUAACGUACCUGUCUACUACUGUUUCUGCUGGCAGCCCUGUUAAAUCAAAAGCAAAAAUUAAAGCGUCACAUAUUCCAAAGAAACUGCAGCUUGAUCCGGUUAGGAACAGAUAAAGAUAGACAAUAUAAUAUAACAUUCUGCAUAGCUGGAAAUCUUAGUUGGACUAGGAAGGAAAUCAGCUUUACUUGAGGGAAGGUCACCUUAAAUUGCUCCAAGAAAAUGCAGCUUCUAAGUAAAAUUAAUAAUAUGCAGCAACUACAGACAAUCAUGAAUAUAAACUCUUAAAAGAUCUGACUUCUGAGAUGGAGUUGGUAAAAGAUUCAUCAACAUUGAUACUUGUCUGCUCUUUACUAUGAAGAUAUGUGUUGGGAAAGAAUGAAAAGACAGAUCUUUAUGACAUUUAGGAAGAAAAAAAAGUAAAAGUUGUUGCAGGAACAGGCAGCUGCAGGAUUGUAAUUACUUUCUUUAACAUUCAUGUAUUAUAGCACUCUUAAAAACUCUCAUUUAGCAUUGGAUGACUUAAUUCUCCAAAAGCCUUAGCUGGGUCACCUGGGGAAUUACUAUAGACAGCCCAUAGAUGAGCCACACUAACAAAAAGGCUUGGAAGGAGGCAAAGACAAGAUGAACUGCAGCAAAAGGUGCGAAAAUAAAAUUCUGUUUUUGUGGGCUAAACUUUUAGUAUAUCCAUUAUGUCAUAGUUUUGCUUAUACCAAACCUCUUAAUUUUAAGAGUGCUGCAACCAUAGUUCAAGCUUUUGAUAGACUCUCCUACUACUUUCUUCCAUUAAAAUAAUAUCAUUUGCAAAAUAGUAUGCACCAUAGAAUCUCCUGUAUAGCGUGUACUAUUGGCUAGUACAUCCAUAAUGAGCUUAAGCAAGUAUAGGUUAAACCGUUCAAGAAAGAUUUAUAAUAUAAAACACGCUAACCAACUACCAUGAAAAACUCCUCUACGACUCCUCCCGCUGAUCUCACACUUGUGACAACUCCUUCAUAUAUCACUUAAAGCAUUUACAUUUAAAAAUCAAUCAUUUCUUCUCCAGUACCGAGUAAAAGGCUUUUCUUGACACUUAAUCAAAUGGAUUCUCUAGGUAAUUAAAAAUCAUUUGAAGAUCAUUCUCCUCCCCCUGUAUAUUUAUCAAUCUUUGCAGAAAAUCUGUAACCUCUUUUUUUUUUUUUUGAGAAAGAAAUCUAAAACCUCUUUUGUAUAUUAACCACGCAUAAAAAUUAAUACUUUAUAGCGUUAAAUUAAUUCUAAACCAGAAAAUAUUAAGAACAUGACCACUGGAAUGGUUUCAAGUUUUAAGCAACAGAGCAGUCGUUUAAGAAUGAAAUCAGCAAAAUCAUAGGAAAUUGUGUGGACUCUUCACUUUUGAUGCCGCACCCGUGUCGGAUUAUCCAAAAAUAAACUACUUUUGGAGAAUCCAGCACGCACCUAUUGACAUUUUCUGAGGAGUCCUAACAUAGGACCACAGUCCGAACUUCAAUAUUACGUCAUUUCAGAUUGAGUUAUUUAGGUUGCUAACAGAAAAUAUGAACUUUACCAUUCUCAAAAAAAAAAAAAAAAAAAGAAUAUAUGAUUUUGUAGGGUAGUUUUGUCAUUACAAAGUUAUGGUGAGAGGCGGCACUCAUUUUCUUCAAUCUCAAGAUUUUUGUGGUUACUCAUUCCUAGACAUCUAAACCAGCAGCAUAAAACAUGAAUAUGAGAGGUAUAUCUGUGUAAGUUAUGUUACCCCUUGUCUUUCUCAAAAAGAUUAAAAAAAACUUCCUCAAAAAGUUAUGUUAUCCCUUGUGAGAGGAUAAAGCAUCCCACAGCUCUCCACCACAACACAAUAAAAUGAAUGCUUUUGCUAAAAAUCAUAUUCCCCUUCUUUUAUGUUUUUUAAUUAGAAAAACAAUAAUCACUACUCUCUCUAGUCCAUAUUAAGUCUAUAGUUGGGACUUUUUUCAUAGUUCAAAAUAAGUCAAUUAUUCAAAGUUCAAGAGAAAUUGUUGGGACUUCUUUUCAUAUUUACCCUUCAUUUAAUGAGGUUCUUAGCUACUUUACAUUUUCUAGGAGAAUAGUUUGGGAAUGAUCAGAAGGGUUAUAGUAGAAAGUAGCCUUUGAUUCGUGUCCUUAAACAUUUUUCUUAAGGGGUGAGUCCUACCUCAACAAUUCACUUAAUAUGCACUAGAGGGAGUACUAAAAACUAGGAGAACAAUAAUCUUAACCCAUGUAAUGAGUCACAGGCACUCCUAGAUGUAAUAAUUUGUUAUUUACAUUCUCCUUCGUCCACGUCACUACAAUCUCCUUUGUGGCUGCCGCAUACUUCUCCUUUUAACAAAGAGCCUUAGACCCUCUUUACCUCAUACGUUUUCCCUUCAACCAAAGAGCCUUGAACCCUCUUUCUUCCCUCUGCAACUCACCAUAUUCCCAUUUCCUUCACCAAGGAAUUGCUCAAAGUCUUUAUCCUCUUUCUUCUCAGCAUACCUAUUACUUGUUUUCUUCAGAAUUGUAUGCUUUUGAGAUUUACUCCUCUUUAGGGGGCUUUUAUCCAUGAAAUUUUUUCACUUAAACAUGUUUCGCCAUAAAAUUCUGGAACAUUUUGUUUUCUCUUUUUUCAAGAACUUCCAGAAAUUCCAAAAACAACAAAAAACUGCUUUUUUUCACUCUGAGUUACUCACAAAAAUUUUAAAACAACUCCAGUUAAUUUCAUGGUAAACACUUGCAAUUUCCAAAUAUCAUUUUCACUUUGAAAACAAAAACUAUUUUUUUCUAUUUUCAUAAUGAAACAUGGCCAAACGCCUACUUAUAUUUUUGACUGACUAGACAAGAUUACACUUGAUCUUAGCCAAAAGGAGACAAGAUUGAAGAUUAGUUAUUGUUAUCACAUCACAUUAGGUUCAGUGUUUGUCAUUAGUCUUUUCAGUCUGGUUACUGUUAUGUCAACAUCAAGACAAGUGUGAGAUUUACAUAACCCCUACUUCUGGAGAACUCUAAAUCACGUCGAAGGAUAAAAUGAUUACUAGCAUAGUAAUGAAACAAAGGGAUGAAACGAGCCCUAUUAGAACAGAAUGGAGGUAGAAGAUCCAUACAGGCUACAGCUAACCCCAAAGGUUUGGACUUGAGAAGCAAUUGAUUGAUUAAUUUUUUUUUUUACGACCAUAGGUGUCCAGGACAGCCUGCGCCCAUCUUAAUUAUUCCACUAGAUACCUACUACCUUCCACCAGCACAUGCAUCGGGUAACUAUAUUCACUAAGACUUAGGUAGAUGGAAGAAAUCAUGAUGUGUUUUUUGUGUCUAUUGUGAUUUGCACUUGAGAUCACAAUUGAUUGAUUAAUUUUCUUUUCUUUUUAUAGAGUAAUGGAUUCAUUUUGAAGAGAUAAAUGUCAUGGAAGGAUGAAAUUCAUAAGCAAAACAAAUAUGAAGAUGUGUUUUUGUUUCACAAAAUAAAAGUACUUCAAUGGGAAAAUAUGUAUGCUUGAGGAUUGAAACAUUGUUGAUAGACAGAACCCCAAAAAGAGAGAGGUCUGUGCAAUGUUUAAGGUCGCAACUCGCAUGUGACUAUAGGUACCAGGAUAAAACCUGAGUGGAAAUUUGUGUAAUUAACCAUUGACUUCCGGAACUCUUAGGACACUAUGCAGAGUUCUUUCUAAAGUUUCCAUCUGAGCUUCACAAAUUAUACAAAUUCCUUAUAUUGAAGCCCUUGGGCAGGCAACUGGGAUUUGACAAGCUAAUUAAGCCAAUUCUUCCAAGGUAAAAAUAUGUUAACGAUGCUUACUGUUAUCAUCAAUACAAACAUGUGUAUAGGUGUAAACUAAAAGAUCCUAAUUACCAACCAUAUUUUUUGUCAAAAUAACCUAACAUUGUAGAAUAUAUUUGACAAACAAUCUUUCAAGAGCAUAUUAGUUCCACAAUUAAGAUUGCAUUCUUGCUUAAACACUUCACUUACUUAUUUACUCACUUCCUGUACUUCCAUAUAUCUAUUCACAAUGACUCACUCACUGCACACUAGUAAAAUGACAAUCUGGAGAAAAGUAACAAGCAAUUAAUAAUUCUUAUUAAUAGCUUUCCUUAUUUUCCUGAAGAUUUUUCUGCUGAACACUGUAAAUCACUAAGAAAGUUGAGCUUAUAUUCAAGUCAAGGCCCCCUUGAUUCUGAGUGUGGAAGUGAGAAUUGAACUGCUUUUAGUCUGAAGCAAUAAAACGUCGGAGCAAGAGAUGUGUACUUCUUUGUUGUCUUGCAUUUGUGACAGAAACACAAGGAAAUAAAAAAUCUGACUGAAUUUUACCACUCUCCCCAUCCUCUUCUUAAUGAUUUGAAGUUGCAAUUCCUCUACAGCUCUACUGCAAUGACAUUAUCCUUCACUCCUACUUCUAUGCUACGGCUUAUAAGUAGCAUUGCACUAGAGCCCGUUUCCAUUUUCUAGAGCUUUGAAAUUGCAUUUCCUGUAGAGCUUUGCUGCAAUAACCUUCUUCCCUUCGUCCUCCCAUUUGGAAACUACAUCACUUCAAUAACCUGUCAUUUUGCUUCUUGCUUAAAGCCCCAAACCUUGAAAAGUUUCAGUUCCUCUUUAAAACAUUGGGUAUUAAGGCUUAUGUUGUCUUGCUGCAGUUAGCAUACCUUGGAGAUCUACACUAUGUUUUUUAUGCAUUAAAAAUUUCAGUUGUGUUGUCUAGACAUUUUUUUACUUCACGUAAGUGCCCCUCUUUUAUGGUAAAGACGAGAUAGAUAAUAAAAAUUCAACACCUAUCCCUAACAGAACCAAUUUGUUCCAAUUUUAUCAGAUGUCCCAAAAGGGACUAUCCUUAAUUGAACCAAUUACCUAAACCAUGAUUCAAUGGUCACUUGACUUACAAGCUUUCUACGUGUUUAAAAGCUUCCGACAGAAAUAUAUAUCAUGUUAAAUGUAAGGUUCUAAUCAGUGAACAUUCAACAAGAUUUCCAGAUUUCUUGAGUUGAUGUAGUCAUUUGACUUUGGAACAUGAAACAUCAUUUAGACUCAAAGGCUACAAUCUUCACUAAGUUCCAUAAUCCUUCUAAAUACAAUUUUGUUCUCAGCAACACAGUCAUAGUACCUUAACAUACUACCCGUUUCAUUCACAAAUCAUGUUAUCCCUAUCAAUAUCCAACUGAUUCACCUAAGCAAUGAAUUGCCGAAAUUCCCUUGACAUAAAUAAAUUAAAAUCAAAACAUCAUUUAAAUCAGCUAAGCUAAUAGUGCACAAUAAGCUCAUUGUGAUGAAAUAUACUCAAAUCUUAUCAACAAACAGCACAAAUGUACUUAAGUCAAGCGAGGAAAAUGAACUAAUCACCUGUAGGAGAAGACCAAGCAGCGUGAACCACACAUUUUUCCUGAAUGCUAGAGCAGAACCCUACUGUAAUCUUAUUUAGAUCUCCUCUUAGGACUGCUCCGUUCCAUACAGAAGCGCUGUCACAGACAGUCACCUGACCAGCAAGGACAACAUUCGGCGCCACGUAGGCAUCGACGGCGAUUUUCGGUGCCCACUGACCUAGUGGAAUGAUCCUCCUCUGCCCUCUAUAGUCCCACUUCACUCGAUCCGGCGAUUCAUUUAUUGCCGCCUGAGCUUCCGUCGCCAGCGUGCGGCGGAUGAGAUUGUGACUCUGGUGGUGGCGGAGGUGACCGGAGAGAGUUGUUGCUAUUACUCUUCUCGAUAAUCUACCUAGUGUCGCCAUUGCAGAUUUUGAAGCGGCUUCUGUGCGUGUGAGAUAGAGAAAGGGAUUUUUGCGAGCUCACAAAUGGAGGUGAAAUGAAAUGAUUCAAUAGGAUCGUGGACUUGAACGUAUUUUUCGAUUUCUUCUAGGGGUGCUUGAGGAAAAGCAUGAAAUAGAAUUUUUAGUCCAAAAAGAAGAAAUAAUUACAUUUUGGCGCCAAUACGUUUCUGAUAGUUGUAUGAGCCCCUAAAACAUUUCAUAAUUAUAGUCUAUGCGCCUUUAUUUAAGGGAUAAUAGCACUUUUGAUCCUUAAUUAUUGAUAUAUUCUAAACAAAAUUACUUUUGAACUUUGGCAAUGCAACAAAGUUAAAUAUAAGUUGAAGUAAUACUUGUUUAGCUAAACUUUCAUACCAUGUACAGUACUUUUUUAUUUGUGAUUUAAAAAUCAUGAAGAUUUAAUAAUUAUAAUUUUGUAAUUAUUUGAUCAAACGGUAAGAUUGAAUAUAACAUAAAGUUAUAUCAGUUUAUCAUGACUUAUAUACCAUUGUCCCAAAGAUAGGGUACUAUGAGUAACAUGAAUUAGACAAGGGAGAAAGAUAUAAAUAGUAAACGAAAUAAAUAAAAGAGAGGUGCAAAAAAAAACAAGUAAAUUAAAUUUAGACUAGGUGUCUAAUAUAAUUGAAAGGUUGAAACCAUAAAGAUCUAGUAUGAUUUGUGAUUUGUCUAAGAAAAUAGUCUGGUCGAAUAUAGUUUGAAGUCAUAUUGUUUUGAUAUAAUUUGUAUGCUACAGAUCUGAAAUGUAGUUUCCCCUCUUUGUAGCUUUAAAAUUAUAUAAAACCGCGACAAUUUGAUAUGAAUAAUUCAAUAUGAUAACUAGGUUGCAUAUAAUGUCAUACUCACUUAACAUUGAUUUUAAUUUUUCACUUAUCAACGUCUUUUUACCAUUUAUACACCACUCAACUUAUUGAGGAUAUGUUAGUCCCUUUUUUUAAAAAAAGAAAAUUAAACUAAAAACAUUCAGUUUCACAGAAAUAUCAUAAAAGGAAAGAACACUAAAGUACCAGAGCCAAAGUAGUCCUUUUGAUGAGUAUUUGAGAUUUAAUUUGGUGUGUUCUUGCAAUUAUACAUCUUCAAAUAGAAAGAAGCAAAAAGUUCUUUAAGUUUGACGAAUUGAAUUAUAACUCAUUAUUUUUUGUCUUGACAUAAUCUAUCUUAGCCCAUGCAAACUUCUGAAAAAAAUUGAAUAAUAAUUUAUUUAUUGAUCAAUCUGUUGCCUAUUUAUAACUUACUUUUUCAUCUACAAUUUUUAUUUUUUUUUUAAUGUCUAUUACACGCUUUCCCCAAUUUCCCUUUUCAAUCCAUCAAUAUAAUGGUAAAGGGUUAAAAGAAAAUGGAAAAUAAUAUCAAUUUCUUUUUGCAAUAUACCACAAAACCAAACUAUACAAUAUUUCAUAUAUAGAUUAUAAAUAUAUAAUCAGAUGCAUAUCAUGUAAUUAAAAGCUGCUUAGAAUUGGACAAAAAAUUUCUAAUUCAAAUUAUAAUAUUAACAUAGUACAUUUUUUUUCCCUUUUCUUAAUUCAACAUUGACUUGGAAUAAAAAUUCUAGACAAUAAAUAAGUACAUUCAAACAACACGAAAAGAUUGUCAUCUUAAAUAUACCGUACACACUAUUUUAUAAUAUAUACUAAGUAUACGUUCACUUAAGGUAGGCUCUUUAAUUACACGACCAUAUAAUUGAAAAUCUAUAAAUCAUAUAUUAUUCUUCGUCCCUACACAACCAGAAAGAAAGCAAAAAAGAGACAAAAGAAAAAAGGGAAGUGUUAGAAUAAUCAAAUUGAUAAAACAUGAAUAAUACAUAUAAUUAAUAAAAGAUAUUCAUAGACUUAUUAAAUUAGUUUACCUUAGAAAGUAACUCACUUGCUUCUGAAUCAAGAAUCCUUGAACUCCCUUCUAUUUCAGACAACCUUACCUGCAUUGUGAAAUAAAUAAUUGUGUAAAAUUAACUAUAAAGGUAUCAAACAGUUAAGUUUAGUAUAGGUGUUUAACUAAUCAAAUUAAUAUUCAACAAAUGUAGCUUCGCACUUAAUGUGAGUAUGUGACUUUGUUUUUUCCAACUUUUCUAUAGUACAUUAGAAAAAUAUUAUUGGAAAAAUAAGAGUUAGUUUCUUUUUAAAAUUUGAGAGUACUGAAUAUUUUAAAUUUAAACAAAAUUUAAAAAUAUAAAAAAUGUCAUAAUGAAAUAAGUGAGGCAUAUUUACAUCUCUUCCUCUUCAAGUUUAUAAAAUGUUAGUAUUAUACAGUUGCUUCCAAAUUAACGUGAUGCUCUGUGGUCAAAUGAUUAACAUAUAGCUCGAGACUAGACUAUUGAAAUAAUGAGAAAAAUAUGGAAAUACAUAUAAGCACACUCACUUGCUUUUGAAGAUGGAUGUUCUCCUCAUGAAGGAUUUUAUGCUGCAUAAGUAAGAUGAAUACACAAUUAAGCUCAUUAAUGAAAAUGUAUAGUUAAUUACUUUCUUUUUAGAUUACAUUAAUGUGUUUUUCACUUUCUCUUAACUUUCUAAAUCAUUAACAUUUUGCAUUGGUCUUUUAAUUAAUUAGUUGUAUAUAUGCUUAGCUAUUUCUAUGGGUGUCUUUGAUAGGGAGGAACAUAUUUUUUCGAGAAAAAAUUAAGUUCAUUGUCUUCUUUCAAUUCAGUCAACGUCUCAGAUUCCCAUAUCCCUUGAUCAUUCCACGCCGAACCUCCACUCUUCAUCUUAUCUCACCUUCAUAAUAUUACAUUAACUUACACAUAAAUGUUCUUGGUGUAUUAUUUUUUUAAUUCCUUAUCAACCCCUAAACAUAAGUAAGAAACUCGUUGUUUAUCAAACAAUUAUUUUCUAGAAAAAAUAUUUUCCUUCAUACCAAAACCAAACACACCCUAAUAGAAAAUUAAAACUCCAAUAAACUAUUAAUAAACAAGCAUCAACCAAUACAAAAUAUUAAUUAACCCACAUAAUUUGCAUAAGAAAUUCCAAAUUAACUAAUAACUAUAAAUUACAAUAAUUAGGAACUUAAAAAAUCUCUCUCUCAACCAAUACAAAAUAUUAAUAACCCACAUAAUUUGCAUAAGAAAUUCCAAAUUAAUUUAUUCUUUUUGUAAAAUUAAAUUUUAAAAAUUGUUUUCCUCAUUAAUUAGAGUCUCACCCUUCUCUUAAGCCCGUGAAUAUGUUCGGAAAUGAUACGUCUCUGUUACAUGAGAGUAAAUAAACUAUAAUUAGAUUUAGUUCUUAAUUAUAUAUCAAGAAUAAUAUUUGGUGGAAAUCAAUUAAAAUUAAAAAAAAUUAUAUGUAUAUAAUUAAGUUUUUAUUGUAAAUAUAUAACUUAAUUAUAACCUUUUUAGAUCGAAUGCGUUCAACCCCAAUUCUGAGUUGACGCUCCAAUUGCUUCAAUUCUUUCAUGCCAAGACUUGAUAACUCUUCUCCAGCCAAAUGCCUGCCCAAAAUAUAUAAAGUUAUAGAUAUAUACCGUUCAACCAACUAGUUUAUAUAUAAAACAUAUAUAUUAUCCGUGUAUAAGUAUAUUUAUUAUAAAGUAUAUGCACAAUAUAUAUAAACUUUGUACAUAUUUUGCAAAUUAGAUGAUCGAAUCGUUCAGAUUUGUAUACUACAACAAAGAUGAUAUUUAGUGGUAAUUAAGUUAAUACUAUUAACUUCACAGUUGGUAAAAUAAAAGUGCAAGUUAUAAAAUACUCAUACUUAUUAUUAUUGUUAAAUAUAAUAUAUCACCAACUAUUUUAUUAUUGUUAAGUAAUUACAACAAAAUUCUUUAUUUAUUAUAGUGAUAAUUAUCCAUGUCCUAAAUUUGUUUCAUUACUCCACUCAAAAUAUUUUUAAACAAGAGUAAUAUAAGAAAAUUAAACAGAGAUCAUAAUUACGUACUUAUCUCUGGCUUCAAGUUCAUGUAUUGUUCUUGUCAUAUCAUCAAUCUUUGUUCUCCAAACCUAAUCCAUGAGAAGAAUUAAUUAAUACUCAUCAGAAUUAACCAAACUACAUAUUUAGUUAGAAAAAAAAAAAGUUACCCUGGCUCUUAUCAGAAGUUUAUUAAUUUUUAGAGAAGACUCAAAUAUGUCAUGAAACUUUUUAGAAAAGAUCAAUUUAAUCAUUCAUUAAAAGUUUACUCAUCAGCCAUUUUCGUUUGAGAAAAGGCUCCAUGCUAUUAUUUAUUAACUGAAAAUAGUUUCGAUUUUGUAAAAUUAAUUUUUUACACAUGGUCAAUUAUGAUUCGGCCACAUCAUUAAUUAAAUCAUUUUUUUAUCAGGAAAAAGACUCAAAUAUGUUAUCGAACUUUAAAAAAGGCUCAUCUAUAUCAUCCAUAAAAGUUUGACUCAAUAUUUAUGCUAUUUCAGUUAACAUAUAAUGACAUAGCAUUUUUCUCAAACGAAAAUGACAUAGAUGAGUCAAACUUCUAACGGAUGACAUUGAUAAACUUUUUCUCAAAGUUUGAUGACAUAUUUGAGUAAUUCGUUAAGAGGAAAUUAAAGUAAUUAAUUACCUCCAUAGCUCUGAGGCCUUGGUCGCUAUUUUUGGACAAUCCAACUUCAUUCUUGUACCUUAAAAUAGUCCUUUCGAUGCUACAUCGAUCCAUUAAUUUUUUAAAAAAAACCAUUAAUCUCAUGAUUGUGUCAUAAACAAAUAUAAUCGAGCACCACGAGUAUAUAUAACUGAACUCACAGAACUUGUCCUAAUAAAAAUUAGUACAAAGAGUGUGAGACGACUUACUCAUGACUCGCGAAAUUGUAAGCUUUGCCGGAAGGAGAGAAAAGAAGAAGGGCAACUUCAGCAUCACAUAGAAUAGAGAGUUCAUAAGCUUUUUUAAGUAAACCAUUUCUUCUCUUGGAGAAGGUAACUUGCCUGUUUGUUUGAUUCUCUAUUCUCUUCAAUUCCACUUUCCCUCUCCCCAUUCUUCAAAUGAUAGAUAAUUUAAUGGAGUAUUGUUCUUUUUCCCCUUCCUUUUAUUUUACCUAAGAAAUUGAAUAAACGCACCAUAUUAUAUAUAUACACAUGUAAUUUUAAUUUAUUCGACCCUCGAAUUAUGUCAUGACCUCAUCAUGGCCAAUCUUGACGUAAUAUCUUAAUUAUGUAGUACUAAACUUUUUUUUCCUUGUAAACCAAGGUUUAAUGUAAUUUGACCUUACCUUUUUUUUAAAAAAUAAAAAUAAAAUAAAUUAUCCCUCCCUAGGAGCUCCCACCCCUUUUGCUCCCUUGGUGACUCAAACUCGCAACCUUCGGGUUGGAAGUGAGGGGUGCCUACCAUCCGAGCAACUUCAUCUCGUCUGACCUUACCUCAUGAUAGGUUGCUCAUGUAUUUUUUUUUUUAACUAAUCAUGGUUUUCUUAAAAAAAUAUUUUGGGUAAAAUUAUUAGGCGGACAUAUUAUUGACACUUUAAAACUUGAAAAGGCUUAGAUUCUAAGAGCGUUGCUGAAAGGCAAAAGCUUCUUGUUUUAUUUUUUAAAAGAAAAAAGCAUCAAGAUUUCGCGAUUUGUUGUUGAAUUUAUUCUAUUUUCAACACCAUUCUAAAUAUUAUACCUUAAAGAUCGAGAGCCGAGGACUCUAAGUCUCUAAACUAAACGAUCUUUAGCAUAUGAUAUUUUUAGUUCAGUUUAGAAUUUGAGCGAGUUCACCAUGACGGAUUAAAAAAAGGAUAUUCUAUCUCACAAUAAUUAUUGGUACUAACUAAAAUGUUCGUUAUAUUGAAUUGUAUAUCAACGCAUUAAUUUUUAUAUACUUUUGUGGCCUAAAUACUAUGCUUGAGCUUGUUUUUAUUGUUUGAUGGAGAAUUCACCAAUUAAGCAUCUUUGAAUUAUUAAAAUCAUUACCAAAAAAAAAAAAGAGAUGAUGUUUUUGGUCGGAUUAUUCGUAAGGAUUAGCACUUGACAUGCCCUAGGAAUGAAAUUCGUUGAUAGACACGACAAACCUUCAUUUUUUCAAUAUUAAAUAUACUUGAUUUCUAUUUAAGUAUUUUGCUUAGAUAAUUUCAAUUCAAAGUUCGCAAAAACUUUAUGAGCGUGUUAUUAUUUGUCUAUUAGAUAAUUUAGUUAACCACAUGAAAUAUGACAUCUCCUUUAAUUAUACAUAUCAACUUCGAAUAGAACUGGAAUUGGCGUAUAAUGAAAAUAAAAUUAUAUAUUUUACAUUUGUUUAACAUAACAAUCUAAAAAAUGAAUACAUAUAAGUGUGAUAUAACUAAAGAAAAUAACAUAAUUUGAAUAAAGUACUUAUAGCGAUAUAACUAAAGAAAAUGACAUAAAUUGAAUAAAGUGCUUAUAGCGAUAACUAACAAAUUUAAAAGGUAUUGGUCUAGACUGAGUUGAUAAGGAAUAAAGUGUCUUAGUGUCAAAUAUAGUUAAAAGAGAAUGACAUCGAUUUGAUCCAAGAAAAGCAGGUCUCAUGACCACCUACUUUUAUUAGAAAAUUAAGUCCAGAAGCUCUCGUAUUUGUGCCUAAAUGUGUGCUUGAAAAAGAAGAAUGAGUCAAGGACCUUAGUGUCAAAUACAAUUGAUUUGGACGAGGAUUUUCUUGAUGAGGAUGAGGAAGACAAUAUGUUGGACAUAUGCUUUGAUAUAGUGGCUAGGGAAGGGGAUAUAUCACCUAGGCAACAAAGAAGUGGAAGCAACAAAAGCAAAAAGAAGACAUAUGGAAGGCAACAUAGUUGGGACGGUAAAAUGACUGAGGAGUUUGUUCCAAGGCACCUACCGAUGCGACAGGAAAAGCAAAAUCAUUUGACAGUAUCAAUAGGUUCAACUAGAUCCAAUAAAUCCAUAAAGAAGGUAUGAAUCAUCAAGUGUUGUUGGAAAGGUUUGAAGAAGAAAACAAGAGAAAAAUAGUUCAAGUUACUUUUGAUGGGCAUCAAUCUUUUUUAAUUCAUGCUUUAGUAAUAGAAAGUUUGAGGCUGGUAACUCAACUUGCUUCUUGAUUGACAUAUUUUUACAUUAUUUAAGCAUCCUCAUUUGUAAUAUCAUCAUAUACUUAGUUUUCUCUCGCUCUUAUUUUCUUCAUGCUGGUUAGGUAGCAGAAGUUAGGUACUUCAUUAGGAUUAGUAAGGUAAGGCCUAGCCCCCCUUGCUUGUACUUGUCCCUAUUGAUAUUUUUUAUGUUUAAUAAAAGACCGCUAGACACUAUCUAGUGGUAAAAAAAAAAGAGUUGAUAAGGAAUCUUUAGUACCUGUUUGGAUUUGUUGGAUAUUUGUCAUGAGUUUCUUAAUAUAAAUAUGUUUUUUUCUACAAGGAAAACAUAAAGUAUUCAUAUUUGACUAAUCCUUUCUCGUAAGAAAAAGCUUAAGACUCCAUAAACAAACGCUCGUUCCUUCUAACGUAAUCAACAUUCACAAUGUAGUUCUAGAGACUUUAAGAGUUUUUGUUAGGGAAGAGAGUUUGUGGGACACAAGUGAUACGUGAACCUCUUUGUAUUCUAGUGAAUUGGGUGAUAUUCUUUCUCUCUAUAUUUUGUACUCUCAUAUUUAUACAGUAGAUUGCUCAUCUCCUUUGAAGACGUAGGUCGAUUGACCGAACCACGUUAAAUCUUUGUGUCAUAUGACAUAUUUCUCAUUUGUCUUCUUACUCGUGGUCUCUCGAGAUUUGUUUUGCUAGCUUCAGCAUGACACCUAAUUAUUUUGGUCCAAACAUGAUUAGCUUGUUUUUAAGAUGCUUUUGAUUUUUAAGCAUUUUUUGUAAUUUAAAGGUGUUUGAAAAGGUUAAAAGUGAUUUAAAGCACUCACUUUUAAGCCAAAAAAAUGAAAAAUAAAUCAAAAGUAAAAUAUCGUCUACUUAUAGUAACUUUUAGUUUUGAAUUUAUAAAUUAUUUUUUAUAAAUCCACUCAAACAAACCCUUGAUACGGCUAUAAAGCUUCUGAAUUUUCCGACUUAAUUAUGUGAAUUGUGAUAAAGCCUAGAAAAAUGCUAUUUACGGCUAUUUAUUUGUUCAAGUUCAAGAAAAAUUUCAAUUAUUUGUACAGUUAUAAGAAGAUCUUUACUAGAUUUAAAAAUAUAAAAUUUAAUAAUUAUAAAUUAAAACAAAUAUAUUUCACAUAAACCCUGGAAAUAGUUACCAAUUGAAACCUUUUACCGAAAAAUUCUAAGUCAUGGAUAUAAAUUAAAAUAUUCUAUAUAUUAAAUUCCUUCAAUUUUUUCUUUGUAUACUUUCUUCAUCCCAUUUUAAACGUAUCUUUUCCUUUUUAAUUUGUCCAAAAAGAAUGUCAUUUUACAAUAAUUAGAAAUAAUUUAAUUUUAAAAUUUUUCUUUUAGUCAUAAUAAAAUGAUUUAAAACAACAUAAAAUAUUCUAAGAAUUAUUUUAGACCACAAGUUUAAAAAAUCUUCUUAUGUAAAAUUUCAAGGGCUCAGAAGAGGUUCAUUUAUGCUAAUCAAAUUAGUACUCGUGCGAAAGUAUUUCCCCAUAAAAGGUGUGAAGCAGGCGGAGUCUUUAGAGCAGAGAUGCAGGCAGAGGGGGGUUUCUCUUCUUAAAUAUUAUGCUAAAUUAAACGGUGCCACAUAAAAUAAAACAGAGAAAGAAUAAUUUUUAUAUUUUAUUCUUUUCAUGAAAAUCUUAACUAUUUAACUAUAAAUUGGAAUGGUAGGGGAGUGGGGGACAUUUUAAAAUUAAGUAUAUAAUAAAUCGACACGUAAGUAUUUUGGAUCAAUGAGUAGCCCUUACUACUCAUCGACACGUGUCAUAUGGAAGUGAUUGAUAGUACAUCACAAAGUUUAAUGUCCCAAUUUAGGGAUAUAAAAACAGCCUCUCCAACAUUAUCUUAAAAAAGAGUUCAUCAAACAACAUAAUGACUUCUUUGAAGUAAUUAGGCUUUUUGGUUAAUUUUGCUUUGAGGAAAGUAUCUAAUUUGUCGGAUCAUAAUUAAUUAACUUGUAGGACUAAUUUCAUGUGGUAAUUAAAAAAUGGAAAAGGGCCUAAAAUAUCCUAGAACUAUUAGAAAUGGUAUAAAAUUACCCUCUAUCCAUCUAUUAGCCCUAAAAUACCCUUGUUGCCUACCUUUAGGUCCUAUAUUGCCCUUUAUUUUUAACGGUCCCAAUUUAAACUCAAUUAAUAAAUUCAUUAAUGACGUGACAAUUUUCUAUUGGUCAAAUUUUAAAUAACCUAAAUUAAUUUAAAAACCCACCCAUUCCCAAAUUAGACCCGCCCCAAAUUCAUUUAACCCAUCUUUUAUCAUCGUCUUCCUCACAGCAAAAUGGCAAAUCAUAGAGCAUAAAAGCUACAACCUUUUCUUUUUCUUAUUUUCAUCCCACAUAAAUUCUUUGAAAAAGAAAUAAAACCUAGAUAAAGUAAAGUAAUCCAAAAUCGGUUUUAGCUUUUUCAGAUAACAAUAUUGUUGUAUAGUUUUGUUGUUUAUCUCUAGCUAUUUAAUUAAGCACAUUGCUUAGAUCUUAGUUACUUGUUUUGGAAGUCUAAGAAAGUGGUAUGUAUUCUGUAUUUUUUGGCAACGAUUGCAUAAAUAAACAGAAAAUCAAAUUCAGUCAAUGACACGAAAUUCUCAUCACCAUUGCCCACUUACAUUUGAUGAGAAUUAAACCAAAUCUUUUGGAUUACUUUAUUUUGGAUUCAUUAGAUAGAUUCUACUCAAAAAUUUGCUCAAGAAAUAUCAUAAUCUCCUUUAUGUAAAUUAUCUAGGUUUUAUUUCUUUUUCAAAGAAUGUAGGUGGGAAGAAAAUAAGAAAAAGAAAAGGUUGUAUCUUUUAUGCUCUAUGAUUUGCCAUUUUGCUGUGAGGAAGACUAUGAUAAAAGAUGGGUUAAAUGAAUUUGGGGCGGGUCUAAUUUGGGAAUGGGUGGGUUUUUAAAUUAAUUUAAGUUAUUUAAAAUCUGACCAAUAGAAAAUUGUCACGUCAUUAAUGAAUUUAUUAAUUGGGUUUAAAUUGGGACCGUUAAAAAUAAAGGGCAAUAUAGGACCUAAAGGUAGACAACAAGGGAAUUUUAGGGCUAAUAGAUGGAUAAAGGGUAAUUUUGUACCAUUUCUAAUAGUUCAAGGGUAUUUUAGGCCCUUUUCCGAUUAAAAAAGGUACAUGUAAGUGAUUUUCCCUUAAUAAAUUCAUCAUCUUAAAUAACUAACCACAAGCAAGUAUUUAAUUUGUCUCCAACAUCCCAAUCUUCUAAAAAAUAAAGUAUAACUUACAUAAAUAUCAUAGUAUAAAACCUAAAUUACCUUCUAUCCCUAUUAUUUUUGUAAUUACAUAAAUUCCAUAUUUUUUAGACAUUUCGGAUACAUUAUUGUUGAUACAUUAUGUAUCAAUCUGUUGCACUUAUUAAGAAAAAAAAAACUAAAAAUAAAAUUAAGAUCUCACAGUAUCCAUUUGUUGCAUAAGGGAAAAAGAGCUGAAAAUCAAAUUAAGACCCCAUAAAUGAGGUUAUUCCAUUCCAAAUUAUUGUCAAGAAUUCAAAAUCCUAUAGUGUAACAAACCAAAAUAUUCAAAAAUUAAAUUUCUUCUUCUUGUUCAUCGUUCUCUCUAUUUCAUAAAACUUUUGUCGAAAUUUUGGAUAAGCGAGGUGAGUUAUGAAGGAUACAAAAGUGAUGGAAUUGUUGUUGGACAAACGAUUUCUUUUGUGAAUCUUCAAGUUCAUCGAAUAUCCUUUCGAUUUUGAUUCAAGAUUGUCGAAAAUUUUGAGAUUCAAAAUUCUUCUCCAGUUCAUUGAAGAUCCUUUCCGUUUUGAUUCAAAAUUGUUGAAAAUUUUGAGUUUCAAAAUUAUUCUCCUAGUUCAUUGAAGAUUCUUUCAAUUUUGAUUCAAAAUUAUCGAAAAUUUUGAGUAGAUAUAUCAUGAAGAUCCUUUCAAUUUAAAUUGAUAAGUGUUGUAUUUCUACUAGAUACAUUAAAUAAGAAACUGUUGCUCGUAAGAUUUUAGGUUUGAGAUCGAUACAUUAUUAUUUGGUAAUUGUUAUGUAUCAGAUACAUUUAGUAUAAAUUCGAAUUUACGUAUCAUAACUAAAAAAUUAGUGCAUGAUACAUUAUAUGUAUCUUAUUUUGUUUGAGAUCAUGAAGAUCCUUUCAAUUUAAAUUGAUAAAUGUUGUAUUUCUACUAGAUACACUAAAUAAGAAAGUGUUGCCCAUAAGAUUUAAGUUUGAGAUUGAUACAUUAUUGUUUGGUAAUUGUUAUGUAUCAUAUAUAUUUAGUAUAAAUUUGAAUUUACGUAUCAUAACUAAAAAAUUAGUGUAUGAUACAUUAUUAUUUAUGUAUCUUAUUUUGUUUGAGAAAUACUAUAUUUUAAAAUUAAAAAAAAUACAUUAUACAUGUAAUUGUUUCAAAAUAGCUUCUUUUUUGUGUGUGUGAUAAAUAACACAAAGUUUAUGUAUCAAGUACAUUUCUAUUGAACAUGAUAAAAAUCAAAGACUCAACAACAUUAAAGUUAUGUAUCAAUACCUUACAUAUGAACAUUAUACCUUACAUAUGAACAUUAUACAUUGCAUAAAACAAAGGUUAUUGUAGCAGUGAUGUAUCAGAUCAAUGAUAACACUAACAAAGACUAAUUUAAGACUCAAAAUAAACGAGAUGCAUUAAAAAUCUGUAUUUUUGAUAGUGAUGGCCGUGUUAUGGCAGAUCCAACUUUUUUCUUCUUCUUUUUUGGACGUUUUUCAAUAGUAGAAACAUUAAAAGAAAAUAAAUAUUUUUCAAGAAAAAUUUUCAACAACAAUAUGAUUAACUAAAAUUGCAAAGGUUCAAUAAGAUUUCAAUGAGGGCAGGGGCAGGGGCAGAGGUAAUUUUAUUUUUAUUUUUUAAGAUGAAAAAAAUUAAAAAAUAAUAGUAAAAGAAAUAAAAAAUUGAAGCGAUGGAAAGAAAUCUGCCUCUUGAAUAAUUUGAAAUCAUUAAUUGGAAAUAGAAAAGAUUUGAAAUUCAAAAAUAGAUUAAUUGAUAAACUUGAGAGAGACACCUUCUGAAAAUCAAAAUGAAUUUGAAUUUGUAACUGCUAAAGAAGUGGAGAGAAUUUAGGGAUAAAAUGGAGGAGUGAAAUGGGGAGUGGAAAUGUAGGCUGAAAAUAUGAGUGAAAUAUUUAUGUAUCCAGAAGAUUUUAUGAAUUGGGGGAAUUAAGGGAUUUUUGAAUUUUUUAAAAAAGAUAGAAAUAAAUGGAUAUUAAGAUAAGUAAAUGUGUGUUUAUAAGUAAUUUCCCUAAAAAUGUAUAUAUAUUCUUGAGAUAUUAUUUUCAAUUUAUUUAUUUAUUUAAAAUAAUAUUUAUCUUCGUACCAAACGCAUCGAGUCAAUCAACAAAGCUCCAUAGUCAAAGGUGAUAUGAUAUUCCUAGUACAUCUCACCCAGAUUGAUCCCCACUAAGGAACACACUACUCAAGUGCCCUAGGAAAAGAAAGUUAAUGUCCAAGUAACGUGGGAGAUUUAAGAGAUUGAUGCCCAUUUCUUUGGGCUGAUUUGUCGGAUUCAUUGUUUAUUUUUUUUAUUACGUAUACAUAGAUUAUAUAUUAAUUAUACAUAUAUUAUUCAUGAAUUAUGCUUAUAUUAUAUAUUUGUUGUCUAUUUUAAGUCCUAUUUGAGUCAAUUCUUUCUAUUUAAUCUGUCCCAACAUUGGUCUAUAUACUAAUUAGUUGUUUUGGAAAAGUAAUCCUUCUCCGUCUGGUUGUUAAUCUCAUGGAAUUUCGAUCUACUAUAAACAUUAAUGUAAAUUGUAAUCAAACGUUUGAUGUCUUGUUUUAAUAUGAGGGUUAUAUACUUUUCUCACUUUUAUUAGGGUGUGUCCGAUAUGAAAGGAAACUAUUUUUUGAAUUUUUCAUGUUCAGUUGGUUAAAUUUUUUAGAAUAAUAUGUUUUUUAACAAUAAGGAAAAUAACUUUCCUAAUAGAAAUAAGAAAAUCAAGUUCUUCAAGUGUAUUCCACACUGAUCAUCUUAUCAACACACCUCAUUUUCACCCUUACGCAGAGGCAUAUCCAAGGGGGAUCACCGGCUUCACAUGAACUCAUACUCCUCUCCCAAGAUCAUAUAUAUAGUAGUGUUAUACUUUUAAAAAAUUAUUGAUAUAAAGAUGUGUAAAUCCACACUCGGAGUAUCAUAUAAUGCGAUGAUGACUGGGUGCACCUCUCUACGUGAGGUUAGAAAUUUGAAUUUUAUAUUUCUUGUUCUCUUUUGGCAUUUUAACAAAUAUAUAUAUCUUAGAACCUAAAUGUCGAACCGAUCAAAUUUAUAUCUUAGAUCAAUCUUUUUGUAAUAGUGCACCCAUCAUUUUGAAAUCCUAGAUACGCCUUUGCCCUUACGCCCCAGUCCCCACGCCCACCUCCACCUCCACCUCCACCUCCACCUCCGAUCAUAUUUGUCUAUUUUUUCCUUUAGAGUUAGGGGAGGGGAAUAUUCGAAGAUUAUAAAUGGUGAAUACUGCAUAAGUGAUAUGUAUCAUGGCAUAUUACGUUGUGGAUAUUAGGAUAUGAAUUAUGAAGUUUCUCUUUAGGAAGUCCAAAUUUUUCAUCCCAAUCAAUUUCCUUCUGGAUCAAAUUUAGACGUGACCUCGAAAUAAUAACCUUGACCUAGAAUAGGUCUUUGACUUCAAUUGGAACCUAUCGUGUAAUUAAAAAUGAUAAAAUUAGUCAUGAAAAUGUGAUCCGUCUAAGUUUGGAAGAUUCAUUGACCUGCUCACUUAUUAUCUUAACUCAAUUUGAACCGUCAAACUUUUGUUCAACAUUGGACCAAAAGGGACAAAAUAGCAAUUAUUCAUCAUAGAGCUACUUUAUAUUUGAGUGUUUUAGUGGCAUCCCAUUUUCAUAGUGUCCUAAGAAAAGAAAGGUUAAUGUCCAAGGACCAUGGAGCUUUAAGAGAUUUAUGCCCAUUCAACUGCAUGUGCUGUAUACGUGAUGAAUGCUUUCCACUUUUAUCUUUGAUUUGACCAUAAUAAUCACUAUAUGUGAGGAAUAUAAUGGCAUUUUGUACAAGUUUGAGACAAAAUUAUUAUUUUUAUAAUUAGCUAAAUAUUUAUUCAAAAAUAUAAUACGGUAACGGUAUGUUAAUAAAAAAUACUAAUAACAUAAUUACCAGUUAUUAUAAUUAGUUACAAAGAUCAAUUGGUGCAAGAAAAUAAAUAAUAACAAUGAAAACUAGCUAUUUUUUCACAGUGAGCAUGCAUUUUCAAAUAUGAUGACAGAGUAAACGAAGCAACAUUGUUACUCGGAAGGAUUAGGUAGACAGAAGUAUAAUUGGGGUCAUGAUUAAUUUGCUUAUUUUAUAAAAUAUUAAAAUUUGAAGUAAGUUUUAAACUUUUUUUAAAAGCUUGACAAGUAUAUUUUGAUCAAAAACCUCCUCCUCCUCCUCCUCCUUUUUUUAAUUUUUUUUUUUUUGGAUUUACAAAAUGGUGUCAACUUAUUAGUUGCACCAGUGUGGUAUCUGAUACUGCUUUUGGAGCCUGAUAAUUUUGAAUUCGUGGGGGUGGAGGGGAUUUGCAGAAUCGAUACUAGUGACGUUGGAAUAUUCGAAGAUUAUAGAUGGCAAACACUGCAUCAUAAAGUAAGCUUGCCCAAAAAAAUAAAAAGUUAAAAACAUUCACCUAAUGUGAUAUGAUAGAAGGAAAUAAAGUUUAUCUAAGGAAUCCCCAACUUUCCAUCCCAGCCGAUCUCCUUUUGGAUCGAGGCCAGGCGAUACAAAACUAAUGACUGUGACCAAGAAUAGGAUUUAUUUUGCAUAAAUUUGAACUGAUUGUUGCGUGAUUAGGAGAAAUAAAAUUAACUUUAUGAUUAUCUAUUAGUGUAAUAAGUACUAGGCUACUAGAUUAGUAGAAGGAUUAGUUUAUUUAUUAACUCAAUUCAUUUAAAAUAGUCUAUUUGUUCACCAACCAAAUCAUUAAAUGGAUUGCAUUAUUAUCCCCCUCACCCUUUUUUAUUUUUUUUGUCUUUCGAGAUGACUCACUUGGUUCGGAGGGUAGUCAGUCAUCCUCAUGAUUCAUCCCCUCAAUAUCUUUUGAGUCGAGUUUAUCGCAUAAGAUUGUGUUGUUUGCAGGCCGUGUACUUACAGGAUGAAGGUUUACCCGAUGCUCACCACAGAAUGUUCAAUCAAAAGGCAGAGGUUGUGACAGAGAUUGUGGCGAUGGCGGGUUAUCUUGUUAGAAAAAGAAAAAAAAAACUUGCCCCAUUAAUCUAGACUAGGAAUGGGGACAACAGUGCAGCGAAAACAACUUCAUUUAGGGCAGGCACUAGGUGUUUAUUUUUUUGUAAGUAAUUCGAAGAUGAAAAAGCAACAAUCCGUCCCUGUAAUUAACGAUUCGUAAACAAACAAAAAGUACAAGAUAAUUAAAAGAGCAACAAACAGAAAAUACAGAUCGGAGUUUGAUUAACCGGCAUAAACAUGAACGCCGACGGCAAUAAGUAAGAUAGUGAUGAGACCAAAGUAAAUGACGGCAUGUACCAAAAUAGCAGCGCCGCUCGUUUGCAUCCCGCCGAACUCCACCACUUUUCCACGGCUAGGUAACUGGAACAACAGCCCCGGCGAUAACAGUACGAACAGCACCACCGCUAUCAACACCGGUCCCCAAUCCGCCAUUACAAGUAAGUAAAUUAGGUUAAUUAAACAGUGAGAAAGAGAAAAGAAAUUGGGGAAAAUGAAAAUGUGAACGUCACACGGAAGUAGUGUGCGGGGCAAAAGUGAACAUGAAUUUGUUGGAAGUAUGAGUUCACUGCCUCGUCAUUCGCGCAAUUUCAGUCUUGGGCUUUGAUUUUUGGACGGUGACUUCUCAUUCUCCCAAUGCAUUUUUCUUCUUUUAAUUUUGGUGACAUCAUAAUUAGAUAAUCCCCCCAUCCAACAAUAAUAAAUGUUCAAUUAUAUUUGUUUAUUUUAUGAAAUCAAUGUAUGAUUUUCCAUUUAGUUUCUAAUUUAUUUUUAUAAUUAAUUAUAGUCAUUUUUCAAUUAGAUUUUUCAAGAUAUUGUAUUUAUUAUAUUCAAAGAGUGAUUUAGUAAAAUUAUCUUUCUAUUUAUAAUUUCUUAAGAAAUAUGCAAAGUUAACUGUGGACAAAUAUUGUUAGACAAAGAGAGUAAUUUCGUUCUCUCAAAAUAAGUGUUGUCCCAAAAACAAUCACAUUCAUUGAGUAGGACUAUUUAUUAUAUGGAUGGAUAAUUAUAUUUAAUGAUUUGGCUUAUUAGCCAACUAAUAAGCUAUUGGUUAGUUCAGUAUCAUAUUAAAAAAUAGGAAAAUUGUAUGAAAUAACAAAUUAUUAAUUCAAAUUAAAUGUUAUAGUCAUAGUUCACUUUAUUUUUAAUUCAAGCAAACAUCUCAUUUUUUUGUCAUCUGGUUCGGUAUAUAAUUAGUCAUUUUCGAUAUAUAAAAUUUGUUAUGGAAUGCAAUUAUGCAAACUAUAGCUAUAACAUACAAAUAUGAUUUUUAUGUUUGCUAUAUGUGAAAGUUGCUCUUAAAAAAUAACAGACAGUUGUCGAAUUGUCCAUUCUUCCACUUUCACUCAUCAUCAAUAUAGUAAUCUCCCAUCAAAUAAAAUAUUUUUUCUAGUCCUACUUAACUUGGUGAUUUAGUAAUUGUAAAUCACGAUGAGACACAUAUGAAAGUCUAAAUUUUGAGGGUGUCUGCACAUAAGUAUUUACUUAACAAAUAUAUUUACAGUAAAAAUAUAACUACAAUAAUAAUUAACGGGUUAAUGGUUUACCAAAUAAGAAAAUUGAGCAAUCUGCCCCAUCGAUAAACCGUUAAUUGUAAAAUUUUAAUCUGUUCACCAUUCGAUAAUUCAAUAAUAAGCCAGUUUUGUGGUUGGCUUAUCGGUUACGAUUUGAUUUCAAGCAGCCCUACCAUUGAGAAGAUAUUUCCUCCGUUUCAAAUGAGUGUCAUCUUAAUAAAAAUUAUGUUCGUUAGGAUAUUAAUAAAUAUAAUAUAAUUUACUAAAUUCUAUAUAUUUUUUGAAAAUUUAUUAUUAUUAAAAGGAUGAAGUAUAAAAAUAUGAUCAGAAAAAUAUAUUAAUUUUUUUUAAAAAAAAGUUCUAAGAUACAUUUGGGAGUAGAAAGUUAAAGUUACCAUAAAGAUGGACAUUAUCUUUAAAAUCACAUAAAGGCACCUUCUUGACCAAAUAUCUUCCACUCAAAAUUUGGGACGAAUCACCGAUACAGCUUUUUAAGGGGUCGUUUUGGUUUGAGGAAAAGUUUUUGUUGGAAUUAGUAGGAAUUGGUUAGAUAUAUUGAGAUUAUUUAUAUUAAGGAAAGUGCUAAAUAAUCAGAAAAUUUGGUCAGAAAAUUUAAAAAAUUAUAAUGUUUUUUUAUUUUAAAAUAAACUGAUUUUUUUUAUUUAUUUUUAGUUAAAAAGUAUUAAAGUUAAAAGGAUAAAAAUAUUUUAAAAAGUAAAAUAACAUAGAUAAAAUAUCAUUUUGGCCAAAAAGAUUUUUCCUUAUAUUAAUAGAGUAUUAGUUUUUAUUGAUUGUUUAAAUUAUUGUAUUAGAAAUGAUAUGUUUUCUUUUUAUAAUUUUUAAGAAAAAGUUCUUUGUUACAAAAGUAUCAUCAUCCUUAUAUAAUCCUUCCACAUGGUACAAAUAAUCUUUUCAUGUCGAAUAUGUAUUAUUAUUUUUUGACAAAAUUUAGAUUGAUAUGAUUUUAAAAAAAAUAUGAACUUAUGAGUCAAGUUUUAUAUUAUUAAAAAAAUUGAAAUGCAACUUGAAAUUUAAAAUCAUACUUUUAGAGGAUUCAAGAUUUGAUUUGCAAUCAUAAUAUAUAAAUAAUCAUUGACUUUAAAUCAGAACUUCAAAUUUUAUAACUAAACGCCUAAUAAAUUAUUCAUUUUGGUACAUGGGCAAACAUGAUAUGUAGCCCAAAGUCGAUCUGGGAUAAGGCCAUUCCUGCAAAUUAUGGGCCACGUUAAUAUAUAUGUAUAUGUGGGCUUGAAAAAUUAUUUUGAAGGGAAAAUUGUAUGAAAUAGCAAAUUAUUAAUUUAAAUUAAAUGUUAUAGUCAUAGUUUAUUUUAUCUGUAAUUCGUAGCAAACAUUCCUUUUUUUGCCAUUUGAUUCGGUAUAUAAUUAGCCAUUUUCGGUAUACAAUUAGUCAUUUUAUACAUUUUGGUAUAAAAUAUAUAGGAAUAAGGGUCUGAAAAAUACCUCAACUUUUGUCGAAUUUGAUGUUGUGAUACUAAACUUUAAUGAGGACCUAUUACCUCCCUAGACUAUUUAAUAUCGUAUUUUAAAUAUAUAUAUUUGCCCACGUGGACAUAAAAAAUAAUGCAAAAUUAUAAAUAGUAUUGUGUUCACGUGGGCACAUAUAUACUUUUAAAAUACACUAUUAAAUAGUUCAGGGGGGUAAAAAAUACGGUAUUAAAUAGUCUAGAGAGGUAAUAGGUCCUCAUGAAAGUUUAGUAUCGCAACAACAAAUCUGACCAAAGUUGAGGUAUUUUUCAGACCCUUAUCCCAAAUAUAUAAAAUGCGUUUGUGUUUUGUAUAAAGCGAGAGAAAAGUAUAUAUACAAAUACAAAUACAUAUAUUUUUGUCUUAUACACUUAUAAUUAUAUAAAUACAAAUCUUAUUAUACAAAUUACAAUGUAUAAAUGCAUUUAUACAAACUGAACAAUUUGUAUAAAAUUGAAUGUAUCUAGCGAAUUAUACAAAUCAAAAGCUCCAUAGCAAACAUAAAAUUUGCUAUGGAGCGCAAUUAUGCAAACUAUAACUAUAACAUACAAAUAUGAUUUUCAUGUUUGUUAUAUGCGAAAGUUGCUCUAUUUUGAAAGGAUUUGGGCUGGAAAUGCAAUUUAUUGCUCCAUAGUUUAGUCGUGUAGGACUGGUCGAAUAAGCAAUGAUAAACUACUUUAUCAGACAUACAUCACUAUCAUAUAUAUUACUAUUAUUAUCUCUACUGUCAAACAAUUACAUAUAUUAUUACUUUUAAUAUUUUAUACCAUAUAUUAUUGAAGAUAUACCCACAUUCCUUAAAAUUGGGAUUGAUUAAUAAUCUCCUUAAUUUACUCUUUCACUCGUAAUCAACCACACUCUCUUAAUUCUCCCCUCUCAUAUUCAUCACUCAAUUAUCUCUCCUCCUUUCUCGUUCAAGAAUCUUACCAUACAAUUUUAUUCCAACAAUGGCUAAUCUACUCUCUUCUUUUCAAGAUAUCAUUACCCUAACAAAAUCUCCUAAACUCAAACCUUAUUAUGUAUUGUUCCUUUCUAAUGAGAUCAAAUCGAAAUAAUUGUUACAAAGAAAUAAUUUUAAGUUAAUUGAUGGAUCGGCCAAACAAUUCACAUUCAUCGUCGAUGACUCCACAAACUCUUUAUUAUGUCUUUAUCUUUAGAGAUAGAGGAGCUUGCCUUAGAACAAAAACUGUUGAUAUCUGAAUGACGUACAACACUGCUUACCCUAAGGCUUCAACUCCAUCUAACAUCAAAGUAAGUUUGGCCAGAUCGAGAGAAUCUUGAUAGACAUGAUCAAAAGAAGGGGCAACUCUAUCUCCAUUUUUGCUCAUGCAUUCGUUAAAGUCAUGCUAUGGAUAACAUGGACUAUUUUCAACUCUAUUUUUGAUAAAUUUAUGUUAUAUCUCUAUUAACUAAUCGUUUUCGUUGUAGAUGGUGACAUAGAUACAGUGGGGAGAAGGAUUAAACAUGAUUUCUUCGAUAUGUAUCAGAAAUUAAUGGUAUAUAUCUCAGUCUCAAAAGUUUUGAGUGUUGUUUUAUAUCUGAUAUAAGGACAUGUAUCUAAUAAUGUAUUUUACAUUUCUUGUAUCUAAUUUUGUUUGAUAGAAGAUUUAUUAUUAGAUAUAUGUGUAUCCGAGUUUAUUUAGUAUUGUAUCAAGUUUUUUGACAAAUGAUUUACUAUCAGAAACAUGUAUAUCCAAUAAGUAGCAAUCUUAACUAAGAUCAGAGUUGUAUUUCUUAAUAAUGGGAUAUCUGGACAUGUAUAUGUCCACCAUUAAAUCUCAAAUACACGACUCUUAACAACAUAAUGAUAUUCACCAUUGCUGAACCAUAAAGGCUCAAAAUUAUUUAAGAAAAAUUUCAGGGGAGUGUAAAGUUUGUAUUCUCUAAAAAAUUUCGAAGUAUUUCAAUUUUUUUUUGGAGUUGUAAUACUCUAAAAAUUUUAUACGCGCGAUUUCAUCCUUAAAUCAUGUCUUUCAGUUACAUUCCUUAUUUAAGUACAUUUAAGUAUAUGUAUUUGGUUAAUUAUCUAAACGCGUCAAAUAUUGAAAUACAUGUAUCCAAGGUCGUACAAUCAAGGAGAAAGAAAUGUAAACUUUGUUGAAUCGCCAAACGAAAUGGAAGAAUUUUGAUUUUUUUGAUUUAUUUUAGGAGAUGUGAUAUGAUCUUUAAAAGUUGUUACAAACGCAAUUUACUAUUUAAUUAAGAGCUUUCAAUUAUAUCACUUAAUUAGAUACAUCUGGUCGCAACAAAUACAUAUAUUCGAUGUCCAAUUUAUGGUUGAAUUCGUAAUAAUGAAAACUGAAGAGAAAAAAGAUAAUAGAUACUAAACUAGUGUGAUUUCUGUUAUUUAUCCAAUAAGCAAUAACUCUUCUUUUGUUAAAAAGUCCAUACUUAAUUUCAUUUCAUGUCCGAGCAUUAUUAAGAAAAAAAGGGAAAUGGUUGUGUAGAUGAAGAAUGUGCUACUUCCUCACAUUUUGAAGACUUUAAUAUCAAAAAAGAUCCUUGUGAAAUAUAAUAUUUUACCACAUCAAUAAAUUUUCAAGAACAUUCAAUAAAUCUUCUAGUCUUCCUCUAUCUACCCCAGCCUCUGCUGAUUUAAGAAUAUAUCACAUACAAUUACUUUAAUUUAAGAUAUUUCUUUGGAGCAUGGUUUUUACGGAGUUUGUGCACGUUAUCUUGAAUAAGUCAUUUACACAAAAUUAUAUAUAUUUCUUAUGUCAAAUACAGAUAUAAUUAAAGGGGAUAACACAUAAAAUAAAUUUAGUUAAUUUUCAACUUGUGCCACAUUAUAUUCAAACAAAGUGUGCUGGUAUAUAUAUAAAUCCAUUUCACAUAAUUUUAAUAAAUUCAGUCACAUUAUUCCUUGAACAAAUUGAAGAUUUAGAUUGACUUUCUACAUUUUCACGUUAUAAGAGCAUAGAAUUAUAUAUUACAGAUAAUUAAAAGCCGCCAAUAAAAUAAUCAAAUAAAGAAGCAACCGUAUGUACGAACCUUGCCAAACUUACACCAGCAAGUUGAAGAAAAAGAAACAAUAUAGUACUAUUUAAGUUUUAUCCAUUGAGGGGGCUGUAUAGUAACUUUACCUAACAUCAAGAUAGACAUUAGUAAUAUCUGAUGAUGAUCGAGUUGAUUGAGCAUGUAAUAUUUUAAAUGGUAAUUUCUGAUUCAAAAUCUCUGAUAUAUAUUUUCUCUAUCGUGCGGAGCUUCAUAGUAUGGUUUACCUCAAUAAUACUGAAUCAAGAUUUACCUUGUGUGCACUCAAAAUUGAGUCACGUCUGUGGUUUCCUUGUCAACAAAAGAUAGAGAUUAGUAGUAUUAUAUAAUGUGCAAAACGUAUAAAAAUGGACAACCAUUAGAGAGAAAUUAAUAUUCAUAUUUAAACCUAGGCAAAGCCUAUAAAUAGAAGCCUUGAUUAGUCUAAAGAAGUAUUCACAACUCACAAGCAAUAAAACCACACACAACUCAAAUAUGACAAACUAUUUAUUCCUCUUAUCUCUAUUUUUACUUCCCUUUAUUGCCUUUUCAUCAACUUUCACUUCCCAAAAUCCCAUCGACUUACCUACUGCUACCAAUAAAUUAGUACUAGACACCAACGGUAACGCACUCGAUCAUCGUGCAAGUUACCACAUCGUUUCGAUUGGUCGUGGUGCCGCGGGUGGUGACGUGUACCUAGGUCCCUCCCCAAAUUCAUCUGCACCGUGUUCUAACGGUGUGUUCCGUUACAACUCUGAUGUAGGACAACCAAUCGGUACACCGGUUAGGUUCAUAAUUAAAUCUGAUUAUAGUACCGGAUCAGGUAUUUUCGAAAAUCAAGACGUUAACGUUCAAUUCGAUAUUGCAACAUCAAGACUAUGUGUUAUUUAUGCGAAUUGGAAAGUGGGAGACUACGAUGUAUCGCUCGGAGCGCGAUUAUUGGAGACGGGAGGAACUUUAGGACAAGGAGAUAGUAGUUGGUUUAAAAUUGUGAAAGUAUCAGAAUCGAGUUACAAUUUGUUAUAUUGUCCUGGUCCUUUUGUUUGUCCAUCUUGCCCUGUUGAUGAGUGUCAAGCAGUUGGUUGGGUUAGGCAAGAUGGAAAGAGACGUUUGUGUCUUGUGAAAGAUCAGCCUUUUGGUGUCAACUUUAAGAAAGUCUAGUUAAUUAACAAUGCUUACUAGACUAUGUGUAGUAUGUUUUAACAUAUUAUGUCUUGCAAAAUAAAUAAACAUGUGAUGACUACUAUAUGAAACUCACUCUGCAGUGUAUAUAUAAUGUGUGACUUUCUUAAUAAAUUGUAUUUUCUUUUCGUUGACUUUAUAUAAGGAACUUUGUCUAUGUAUUCUUAAGAGAUUUGUUUGGUUGGUAGGAUGUGAUUUUCGAUAAAUCAAGAUAUCUAAUGAGAUUAGCUAUUAUAUAUAUAAGAUAACUAAUUUCAUCGUUUUUGUAUAAAUAAAAAAUAUUCAUAAUCAAACAUAGGAUAAAAUAAUUUAUAUUUUAUCACGAGAUACUAUCCUUUAUCCUAUUAAUUAAGGUGUUUUGAAAAUUAGGGAUGUUCCAUUCCUAUUGUGAAGGAGUAUGGACUAAUUGAUAGUGGAGUAUAAUCACAUAAAUAUUGGGUGUGGGUGAACAAAAUCCCUAAUGAAUAUGUAUUUGAUUUUAAUUACAUAAAUAUUUUUAUUAUAUUUAUUAAUUUUACCUAUAGUUUAAAAUAAUUAUAUAUUGUCUCACUACUUGAUAAUUUCAUAUAAGAUUUUAAUAUAGAUACAUCUAGAUAAAUAUUUUUUUGCUACCAGAUAUACUAAAAUAGGGAAAGAGACGAGCAAGAAUAGGAGGGAGACGAGUGAGAUUUAUCUAUGUAUCCCAGUUAUAUGCGACUCCACUUGAAUAAAAUUUAUCUAAAACAAAUUACACUUAAUUUUGACUUCACAUAUUUGAUAUACAUAUAUAUAUCUGAACGCGCUAGGCACAUAUAUAUGGAGACGAGGGGAUGAAUUGUUAUUUUGGAAAGUCUUAAAGUACUAGUGAAAUUUGUUUGUGUUGUUUAUCGUUGAUUUAUUCUUCACUAAUUAGAUUAAUUACACUUACAUGAGGAACUAAAGCGAACCAAAAUAUAAUUUCAUUACAUAUUACAAACCUUGAGUAAACUGAAAACAAAUCAAGAAUAAAUAAAUAAAUACAAUCACUCCAAACAAGCAUCCAUUUUUUCCUGCAAAAUCCAAAAUGACUAGAAAAAAGAAUAUACGAAGAAGCUAACUAGUGAAAGAAAAUACGAAUACGAACAGCUAAAAUAAGAAUUGUAAAAAAGACGAAGAAAAUCAAAGUAUGAAGUAAAACUGCUUUGCCAUUAGUAGCAAAGCUUCCGAAUUCGACGUGGCGUUGAUUCCCCGGCAGCUGAAAGAGCAGUCCCGGCGAGAGCAAAAUGAAAAGAAGAUAACCUAUCAGAAUUGGUGCCCAAUCAAUCAUAUUUAACUAUCAGGAUCGUCAAGCCAAGUCCUGAUUCGUCUAAAUAAAAUUUAUAUCUCCUUUAUCUAGUCGAGAAGAACGGAGGGAAAACUCUUUAGAUUUAUGUAACGUGGAACUUGCAGUCUAUUGAGAUUGUGAAAAAUGUUCAAUUUACGCUCUCCUACUUAUAGUAUUGUCAUGGAUAAAUUCUAUGCUUUUUCCUCAAGGUAAGGAUUGCGUUACUGCGUAAAUUAACAUGGUAGAGCCUUGGGAUCGAGGGAAAAGCAUCUUUUCUUAUUAUAUAUAUAUAUAUAUAUAUAAAAACUGUGCGGAUACGGUUCGGAAACUGAGUCGUUCGGGUUGGCUCUAUCAAUCAAUCAUUUUCCGAAGCCGAGCGAAUGGCAACGAUGACGCGAAGUACCUUUUAGCAGGGGCGGAGCCAGAAUGUCUUUAGGGGUUCAUCCGAACCCCCUUCGGCUGAAAAUAUUACUAUAUAUACAUGAUUAAAAUUAUUUUUUAAAUGUAUAUAAUAGAUGACGAACCCUCUUCGACUAGUUCGUAUGUUUAUUCCUUCGGAUUUUGAACAUCCUUAUUGAAAAUCCUGGCUCCGCCACUGCCUUUUAGCGACGAGUGGUAAUGUUUUUUCACUAAAACAUAGGGAGCAAUUCAUAUUCCCUCCUUUUUCCAUCUAUACUUACUAUAUACCCAACAUUUAUAAGGUCUUCUCGCCUCGUUUAUUUACUAUGUAAACAUAAAUAUAUAAAGUAUUGUAUUAUAAAUAAAUAAAAUCAACUUUUGUGUGAUAAAUUUUAUAAUUAAAUAACUUUCAUGUAACACAAAAUUAUAUUAUAUCAUAAAUUUAAAGUUGAAUGACCAUCAAUGAAUUUUAACCGAAACGUCUCACUAUUAGGUUUCGUGAGGAUAUAUAAAAUUGCAAGGAGAAUGCCUGCCUCCCCCUUUCAACAAUUCCACCUAUUUAAGUGAUUUAUUAAAGAAGUCAAUAUGAUACUUCUAUAUGUUUUAUUUUAAUUUGGUAUUUAAUUGAGCGAUGAUGGACUUUAUAAUGUAUUGUCGUCCCUGGCCGUACAAAAUAAUAACAUUGUUUUCUAAACAAAUUGUUUUAUUUUAGAUAUUGAUAUUAAUGUUUGAAUUUUCGGAUUAAUAUAAAAAUGAUGACAAAAAUUAAAGUUAUAUUGAUUCAUUCUUUUGUAUAUUAAAAAAGAAAAAAGAAAAAAAAGGAGCAAGGGCACUUCAUCUAAAGUUUUACAAAAAGAAAAGAAAAUGCUGACCCUGACUCCUUG